GCCCAUAAAUAUAGCCACUUAAACACACAAACCCAUAACCAAAUUAAACCAAAACAUUUACCUCGACCAGUAAAUGAGAUUAAACACCAACACCCCAGCCUUGUAAGUACCGCAAGGGAAUAAUGAAAGAACAAUGAAAACUUCAAGCACAAAACAGCAAAGAUCAACCCCUGUACCUCCUGCAUCAUGGUUUAGCAAAACACUCCAGACAAAGAGAGCCUUUAGCCUGCCUCCCCGAAACCAAACGAGCUAUUUUUAGGCAGCCUAAACGAGCACACCCGUCCCUGUAGCAAAAGGGUGGGAAGACCUAAAAAUAGGGGCAAAAAGCCUACCGAGCUUGGUGAUAGCUGGUUACUCAACAAAAGAAUUUAAGUUCAACUUUAGGUGCACACAAGUCCACCACUCAUUAAAACCCUCACCUAAAGAAAAUCAAUGGGGGUACAGCCCCAUUGAACCGGAAUACAGCCCGAACAGAGAGACUUUUUAUUAUUUCCAAACCCAGUAGGCUUCAAAGCAGCCACCAAACAACCGCGUUAUAGCGAGAACCCAAACAAUUAAAACAACCUUAAAUUUCUCCUGACACACCCCGAGUAAUUCUAUACCAAUAUAGAAGCACUAAUGCUAAAAUUAGUAAUAAGAAACAAUUAUUUCUCUUUGCAUUCCCUUAAAUCAGAAUAGAAAAACCACUGAUAAUUAACAAAUCAAAACAUCCAACCUCACCACCUAGACAUAAUGUUUCCCCAAUUUGUUACCCCGACACAGGCAUGCAAAAAAGAAAGGCAAAAAGCUGCAAAAGGAACUCGGCAACUCCCAGUCUCAACUGUUUACCAAAAACAUAGCCUUUAGCCUAACAAGUAUUAAAGGUAUCGCCUGCCCAGUGACUCUUUAAACGGCCGCGGUAUCCUAACCGUGCAAAGGUAGCAUAAUCACUUGUCCCAUAAAUCGAGACCGGAAUGAACGGCUAAAUGAAGACUAAACUGUCUCUUGCAGCCAGACCAAUGAAAUUGAUCUUCCAGUACAAAAGCUGAAAUAUACCCAUAAGACGAGAAGACCCUGUGGAGCUUUAAAACCAAGCGCAUCAAGCAUGCCUCUUGGAUUUUUAGUUGGGGCGACUUUGGAGCAUAAAAAAACCUCCAAAACAUGAAAUUUAAAUUAAGACCAACACGACAAAAUAAUAACAUAAGACCCAGCAACCAACUACACGUUGACUGACCAAUGAACCAAGUUACCCCAGGGAUAACAGCGCCAUCCCCUUCCAGAGUCCAUAUCGACAAGGGGGUUUACGACCUCGAUGUUGGAUCAGGACACCCCAAUGGUGCAGCCGCCAUUAAAGGUUCGUUUGUUCAACGAUUAAAGUCCUACGUGAUCUGAGUUCAGACCGGAGAAAUCCAGGUCGGUUUCUAUCUAUGCGACACCAUCUUCAGUACGAAAGGACCAAGAUGGUAGGACCAAUAUUAAAUAAACGUCCUAAUCAAAACUACUGACCACCCCUAAAGUAGUAAACAUACCCCCCCCACCACCCAAAAUAAGGGUUU
rnacentral:rRNA from 1 species